GGCAAUGUCUCAAGAAAUAUAUAGCUGAAGCUGACUUGGAACUAUACAUAGCCUAGCUGAUGCUAUUAUAACCUUUCUAGUGUUAAGAUUAUAGGCAUAUGCCACCAAGCCUGAAGUUUUGCCUUUCUUACACUGAAGUUUUCAAAGAUAAAACAUGUAUAACCUCUGUCUAGAAACUUGCUAGGAAUAGUGGUACAUAACUUUAAUUCCAGCUCUUGGGAGAUAGAGACAGGAAGAUCUCUGUGAGCUCAAAGCCAGCCUGGUCUAUAUAGUGAAUUCUAGGACAGCCAUAUUUACAUAGUGAGACCCUGUCUUGAAUAAAGAAAGCAAGAAAGCAAGCAAGGAAGGAAGGAAAAAAGGAAGGAAGGAAAGGGAACGAGUGAAUCUAUUUCUAACGAGAGUGCUAUUCUAUUAAUGUCUUAAGGCAUUAAUAAAUAAAUAACCAGCCUGAAGACAAAAUUAUCCUCCAGAAGUGAUCUUCAAAGUGUAAGCUCAGAACAUUAAUUGGAUCAUUGGAAAUCUACUAUGACUGAUCAAAUGGAUAGGCUCUGGCAUGAAAUAUCUUUUGUUUCUCUUUCAAAAAAUUCAACAUACAUGAUUAGCUUGUUCUACAUUAUGUUUUGUGAAUAGGUGGUAUGCAAACAAAAGAUAGUUGCCACCUAUAUUUUACAAAAACACCUAUCACUUAGACAUGUGCAGCCAGAGAGUUGGAUGGCUCUGGAAAAGGUGGUCUUAAACAGGAGGAACACCUGAGCAGGACAGAUCUGCCAAAAUGGAUGGCUCAUAAAAGCGGCUCUUGUGAGCACAUAGGCAUUCCCCUAACCUGGCCUUCUGCACAGAAAUUCACUGAACUCAGUUCGGUUCCCCCUGUAUUUAAGAGAGUCUAUUGCCACCCAGAUGGAUUGCAUAGCUUUCUGGGUUUUUCUGAGUGUGUUGUGUUUCUCUGGACUGGCAUUCAAAGUUAAAGGCUGAAAUUCUUUUCCUUAGGUCUACAAAACACCAUAGUUGUAAUUAAUUUUAUAACAUUAAAUUCAAUGGCCAUGUGAUUUACAGGGAAUGAACAAGUGUUCUUCAAAAGGGCUUGGUUGUACAGAAUUUCAAUGCGUCAAAUGAUGUAAUUUUCUAUAAUAUUUAGUGUGCCAUUUUUAGUUCAGUGUUUGGAUAAUAGGAGACUUCGAAGAAAAAGAUAAAGAGAGGCUGAUUUGCCUGGUAGUACUUCUGUUCUUUUGUUCUUUUAGGAUCUAAAAUUAACCGACAUCUGCAGUGUCAACAAGGACUCCAUAUGGCAUUCAAGUUCGUACUUUUCCUAAAUAAUGCAUCUGAGGCGAUGUAAUCGGAGAGGAAUUCUGAGUUCUCCACAGUGCUGGACCCAGAAGCCCAGUUCCUUGCUGAUUGCUGACCAGAGGUUGCCUCAAUUUCCUGUCCUGUGCCACAUUGGUCUCUCUCCGGCUCUGACUAUAUUGCAGCUGGCGUCUCUCUAAGCAAGUUUGGAAGAGAAAGCCACGACAGCGUGAAUAGAAGUUCCUGCAAAUUGAUGAGACUAAGGCUUGAUCCCGUGGCAUUACCACAGUGGCGGUACACCAAGACGCAGGACGAGCAAGUGUGUAGUAUACAGAAGGAGGCAGUGGACACAGCUCUUUGAGAGGGAUGAGUCCGAUGUCUGUUCGACCUCAACCAUAGAGCUCAAAAUGUUAGAUGAGGUGACUACUGUGUGUACAAGGCAUCUUCAUUCUUCAACAAGUCCACUUUUGGAGGUACUUAGACGUAUAAAAUUUGAAACCUCUACUAUGGAGCUUUUCAAGAGGUGAGCAAUAUCGUUCCACAAAAGCACAGUUCAAAGGGAACAGAAGAGAAAGUAGGAUGCUUCGGUACACCUGUGCCUGGGUUUACCUUGUAUUCAGCUAUUUGUUUAGAAAGGAGAUUUUCUUUUAAUAACUUCUCUCUUUCGAGAUCACCCCAACCUAUCUUGCCACUGGCUCACCAAAGUCUCUAAUAGUUAAGGAUGCCUUUCUUUGAAAUUUCCUAGCAUAUGUUGCUCUGUGGCUGUCUGUUUUCUGGUAAGACAGGCACUCCGCUUAUCAGGACCUGCUGCUUCAUAAGCCAAGAUUUAUUUGCUAGGAACAGGGACGGGUUCUGUCCUGUCCCACCAUGGCCACACAUAAGGCAGAAGAUCUUUCUGCUACCGCCAGACAAGGUUGCUUGGAGACGGUGCUGUUGACUGGCUGAAGCCAAUACUAUCCAGCAAGCAGUUUAGCAGCACCUCAGGCAAAUGGGUUUGCACUUCACAGUAGAGAAUUCCACAGCCAGAGGAGACACUGCGAAGAGGACAUCAUUUUUUCCAAGUGGCUCACUGAUCUGUUCCUUCUCUUCACCCUGUCUUAUACCUCCCUGUACUAUAUUUCUGCCUCAUGCUUAUUUUCUAUAACCUCGUCAGCAAGCCCUCAACAGGGAAGAAAAUCUUCCACAU